rnacentral:lncRNA from 1 species
AGAGACUCCCUUCCCACCCUCCGUGUGCCAAAAUAGUGUGUCACCCGCUCGGCUUAAGAGAUUUCCUGUCUUGGAAACCCCCAAGUGCCAUUUUCCUUAGCAGAUUCAGCCUGCUCAAGCUCUGGCCCGGAGAAGGGUUGGGAAUGAAGUCAGCCUUGAGUAUGCAAGCUACAGCUGUAGCCAAAGAGCAGUGAGACAUUGCAGUUGACAGUCCUUUGUCUGCCUGCCCCCUCUCCUGAAGCACCAACACCCCUCCUUCCUAGCGCCAAUGGAAUUGUUCUGCCUGCAGGUGCUUCAGGAACAAUGACCAAUUCUCCAUUUGCCUGUUCAUCCCCCACCGGGAGAAUAGAUGCUACCACAUUUCAGUA